CUCAAUGAAAUAUGGGAAACUAUCCUAUCCACAUAUAAAUAUGCCUGUGGCGAUAUAUCUGGUAUUAAAGCUAGCUGAGUAUAUACAUCGUAAUUGGUAACUUGAUGGCUGUUGCUUUCGUGUAUUAAUGGCUGGGUGUCUUGUUCAACUGGUACACUUUGGAAGUACUACAUGUUUAUAGAAAAAUAAAAUUAUAUUUAAUAAAUAUUUAUUCAGUUUCUAACACAUAAAUAAAAUAUAAUACAAUGGUAGGUUAAAAAAAUGCUGUAUAUAUUGUUGCAAACUAAAUAAAUCAAUCUAUUAUAGAGCUACACCAGAUUCUUGCUGUUAAAUGUUAUACUUUCUUUAAUUGUGUCAUUGGCAUUAAUUGCAACAAAUACCAACAAUGCAAAAACAAGAUACAAAUUGUGCAUUGACCAGUAUUUAAACAGUGUACUGCAUUGACUAAUAAAAAAAGUUAUUUGAUAAACUUAUCUGGUAGUAAUUUACUCUGUCUAACAUAGUUCGGAAAGGGUCUGUAUUAUAUCUCCUAUUUUAUAAAUAUUCCCCCUAUUACAGACUGCUAAUAACCUCUUUCAGAGAGCAAAAUUUGACAUUUGGACUUGUAGUUUAAUUAAUUAAAAACCACUUGUUCUGUAAUUUCUACGAUGGUUUUCUUAUCACGCCCCUCUUUAAUUAACACAUCCUCUUUUAGUAACCUCCCCCCCCUCCCCAUAACAAAACAUAACAUUUUUUCAUGGUUUAUCCUCUUGAAGCAAGGAGGUUUUAAACUAUGUCUAAUCAAGGAUGGAUCCAGCAUGAUUUAGUAGGGGGGGGGGGGUGCUCUACCAGCUCUGGUGCUGAGUUGUGUCUGUCAUGUGUGCCGCCAGCCCAUCAACUUGCUUCACUACUGCAAAGUCUUGCUUCACUACUGUAUUUGAAUUGUUGUGCACAGUUCACUUAUCAUCAUGUUAUUGCUCAAAUUACUGUAUCUCAUUUUGUCUCUAAUAUUUUUCCCCUUUAUCAUGAAAAAUAGCACGCCCCCCCCCCCCUCUGGCCAGGGUAGGGGGAUGCACCCCCACUCCCCCAGUAAAUCCUUCCCUGUGUCUAAUGGCUAUGUUUUUGUUUGUCAUACAAAUCCACACAAAAGUCUAUAUUCCUCUUAUUAACAUUAUGGUUGAACAUAGACUAUCACACUGAUAACAAAGUAGCCUGCCUCACAGACAUCCUCAAAUGGCUCAGAGCCAUAAGG